UACGUAGGUGGCGAGCGUUAUCCGGAAUGAUUGGGCGUAAAGGGUGCGUAGGCGGCCUGCUAAGUCUGGAGUGAAAGGUACCGGCUCAACCAUUGUAUGCAUUGGAAACUGGUAGACUUGAGUGCAGGAGAGGAGAGUGGAAUUCCAUGUGUAGCGGUGAAAUGCGUAGAUAUAUGGAGGAACACCGGUGGCGAAAGCGGCUCUCUGGCCUGUAACUGACACUGAGGCUCGAAAGCGUGGGGAGCAAACAGG
rnacentral:rRNA from 1 species